rnacentral:rRNA from 1 species
GGACAAGCCCUGGAAACGGGGUCUAAUACCGGAUACGACGCGCUCGGGCAUCCGAUGUGCGUGGAAAGCUCCGGCGGUGAAGGAUGAGCCCGCGGCCUAUCAGCUUGUUGGUGAGGUAACGGCUCACCAAGGCGACGACGGGUAGCCGGCCUGAGAGGGCGACCGGCCACACUGGGACUGAGACACGGCCCAGACUCCUACGGGAGGCAGCAGUGGGGAAUAUUGCACAAUGGGCGAAAGCCUGAUGCAGCGACGCCGCGUGAGGGAUGACGGCCUUCGGGUUGUAAACCUCUUUCAGCAGGGAAGAAGCGAAAGUGACGGUACCUGCAGAAGAAGCGCCGGCUAACUACGUGCCAGCAGCCGCGGUAAUACGUAGGGCGCGAGCGUUGUCCGGAAUUAUUGGGCGUAAAGAGCUCGUAGGCGGUCUGUCGCGUCGGAUGUGAAAGCCCGGGGCUUAACCCCGGGUCUGCAUUUCGAUACGGGCAGACUAGAGUGUGGUAGGGGAGAUCGGAAUUCCUGGUGUAGCGGUGAAAUGCGCAGAUAUCAGGAGGAACACCGGUGGCGAAGGCGGAUCUCUGGGCCAUUACUGACGCUGAGGAGCGAAAGCGUGGGGAGCGAACAGGAUUAGAUACCCUGGUAGUCCACGCCGUAAACGGUGGGAACUAGGUGUUGGCGACAUUCCACGUCGUCGGUGCCGCAGCUAACGCAUUAAGUUCCCCGCCUGGGGAGUACGGCCGCAAGGCUAAAACUCAAAGGAAUUGACGGGGGGCCCGCACAAGCAGCGGAGCAUGUGGCUUAAUUCGACGCAACGCGAAGAACCUUACCAAGGCUUGACAUACGCCGGAAAACCCUGGAGACAGGGUCCCCCUUGUGGUCGGUGUACAGGUGGUGCAUGGCUGUCGUCAGCUCGUGUCGUGAGAUGUUGGGUUAAGUCCCGCAACGAGCGCAACCCUUGUUCUGUGUUGCCAGCAUGCCCUUCGGGGUGAUGGGGACUCACAGGAGACUGCCGGGGUCAACUCGGAGGAAGGUGGGGACGACGUCAAGUCAUCAUGCCCCUUAUGUCUUGGGCUGCACACGUGCUACAAUGGCAGGUACAAUGAGCUGCGAAGCCGCGAGGCGGAGCGAAUCUCAAAAAGCCUGUCUCAGUUCGGAUUGGGGUCUGCAACUCGACCCCAUGAAGUCGGAGUUGCUAGUAAUCGCAGAUCAGCAGUGCUGCGGUGAAUACGUUCCCGGGC